AACGCAAAUAGCACUGCUAGGUCCUCCUAGUAGUAUGCCUGUUUGAGUGUCAGCAAUAAAUAAUCAACACAUUAAUGGACAUUAAUGGCGUUGCACUUGGUGAAAUGUCUUGGGGGCAAUUUUUCAAUUGUCCUUGGGACAAUUCGCUCAAAUUUCAAACCUUUUAUCAUUAACCUGAGUAAUAAUUAACUUGGUAACAACUCUCUUGUUACUGCAAAUGAAAUUAAAAGUCACUUUUUAGUUGACAUUUGUACGUGGCAUUAUGAGACUACUUUAUUAUUAUUAUUAUUAUUAUCUUUGGGUCUAUUCUUUCAAAAAUCUAUAUACUUGACCUCAAAUCAGACAGGGUUACCCGCUGAAUUUAA
rnacentral:misc_RNA from 1 species